rnacentral:rRNA from 1 species
UACGGGGGGGGCAAGCGUUGUUCGGAAUUACUGGGCGUAAAGGGCUCGUAGGCGGCCAACUAAGUCGGAUGUGAAAUCCCCAGGCUUAACCUGGGAACUGCAUCCGAUACUGGAUGGCUUGAAUUCGGGAGAGGGAUGCAGAAUUCCAGGUGUAGCGGUGAAAUGCGUAGAUAUCUGGAGGAACACCGGUGGCGAAGGCGGCAUCCUGGACCGAGAUUGACGCUGAGGCGCGAAAGCCAGGGGAGCAAACGGG